rnacentral:misc_RNA from 1 species
GGGAAAGUGCACAUACAUCCUGGGAGGAGGAAGCUUCAGGGGAAACAAAAGGUACAUUUUGAGGGGAGGCAGGUUUGUUGGAAACUACAGGUAAAUCUUGGAGAGUGUCAGCUUUUGGAGAAACUGCAGGAACAUCUUGGAGGGUGGAAGCUUUCCGGGAAACUACGGGUACAUCUUCAGUCUUGGCAGUUUCAAGGGAAACAACAGGUAUAUUCUUG